rnacentral:tRNA from 1 species
GCUCGCGUAGCUCAGUUGGUAGAGCGCGUCCUUGGUAAGGACGAGGUCACCGGUUCAAAUCCGGUCGUGAGCU